rnacentral:lncRNA from 1 species
CCUCCCCGACUAGGUUGGCACCUCCUCUGACAAUCUACUUCCAACUUUCAAGAUCUUUUCCCUCAAACACUUCGACUCCCUUUAAGAAACAGAAGAAGCCCCAGAAAUAUUCUGGAAAUAUGGGAUAAAGUAAAACCAACAUUAACAAGGGAGCAAAGAGAUAGCAAAACUUUUAUUUCGAUAAGACAAGAAAUUUCUUCAAAUUUAAUCAUACACACCACUCACCAUUGUAAGUAAAUUUGUAAUGUUGUUUGAUUUAUAUAAAACUCUCAACACUUUCUACUAUGUGCUUUUAUCAGGUGUCUCGUUGUAAUGUACAAUAGUAACAGUUUAUCAAAAAAAAAAACCAUAUAGCCAUUGGUUAUAUUUCCAUCAACCAAUCAAGAUAAGUAUUAUGAUUUAGAAGGGAAAAUAAAAUUUAAGUAAAAAAGUGGACUUUUGUGAAGCAUAGUUAUGUUAACCACAGAUUUCCCUGAACCUAGAGCAUGUUGUUAAACAUAGUUUCGAAGCAUAAGUAUAUAUCCUAAUCUAAAUUUCAACUUAAUUAGCAAUUAAAUUGUAGAAUUCAAAUGAAUUAACCAACAAACGAGCAUCUUACAAAGAAGGUGAGCGUCUGACCACAUGCGUCUUCCAUUGUUUUCUUACUUCUUUCACCAUUAAAGCUAAAGUGGAAUCAAUCUACGAAACACUCUUAACGAACCCUAGAAUUUU